rnacentral:sRNA from 1 species
AGCAGCCGCGGUAAUUCCAGCUCCAAUAGCGUAUAUUAAAGUUGUUGCAGUUAAAAAGCUCGUAGUUGAAUUUCGGGAUUAGUACGCUGGUCGUGCCUUCGGUAUGUACUGGUGUUACUGGUUCCUACCUUCUGACGAACCGUCAUGUCAUUAAUUUGGUGUGGCGGGGAAUCAGGACUGUUACUUUGAAAAAUUAGAGUGUUUAAAGCAGGCUCGCGCUUGAAUACAUUAGCAUGGAAUAAUGAAAUAGGACGUUCGAUCCUAUUUUGUUGGUUUCUAGGAUUGACGUAAUGAUUAAUAGGGAUAGUUGGGGGCAUUAGUAUUCAAUUGUCAGAGGUGAAAUUCUUGGAUUUAUUGAAGACUAACUACUGCGGAAGCAUUUGCCAAGGAUGUUUUCAUUAAUCAAGAACGAAAGUUAGGGGAUCGAAGACGAUCAGAUACCGUCGUAGUCUUAACCAUAGACUAUGCCGACUAGGGAUCGGAUGAUGUUAUUUUUAAUGACUCAUUCGGC